AAACAAUUUUCCGAUAAUUUAGCAAAUUUUGGCUUGAAGAGGUCAUAUCAAAGGGGUAGCAGAUGCGAAGAAAAUACUGAUCUCUAAAUGUACAAUAACGACGAAGUGGAGUAGAUGAAAAUAUCCAUAAGCACUGAUUGUUGCUUCGUCGUAUGCGAUUCUUUUCGAGACGAUCAUAUUACCAAUUCGACCUCUUCACUUCAUUGAAUAUCAUAAGAAUGCUUGACAUGAGCCGAUUAAGAGUUUCCAAGUUUUGAAUUUCAAUAUUUCGUAUCGUAACGCACAACGUCUGUUCGCCAGUCAACCAAACAACCAACCAAACAACCAACCAGCCGUUAGUAAACGAGACCCAGCCAGCAGUGAGCCGACGUGGCGUAUUUAGGCAGUUAGUCGAUGAGGCAGCGCAUAAAAAGUCAACUGUCGACUUCCGUCCGAGUGCCGGUCUAGUUGGCCAGCCAAUGGAAUCGCAAUAACGAUGUGUCGCUUAGGACAAUCCUGAAUGACUGAUACAUCAAUCCACAGCCUGAGCCACUGAUCAUACAGAUUUCAAACUUGGAGGGAGUAUUCGGUGUAUGAAAAUUAAAUUUAUUUUUAAAUCGCUCGAUUUACAUGGCAUUCGACUCAGAGUAAAUUUACAAUUUCAUCAUGACGAGAUAUACGCAAGAACAACGUUUAUAAACAACAACAAAUUGAAAACUAUAACGAAUUUUGAGAAAGUUAUCUUCUCCGAUGAGGCGAAAAUAUCCACAAAUUAUUCAUGAAUAACCAUUGCAUUCACCUAAAUUGACAGUUUAGUGUGGUUUUUGGUCCGGUGGAAUCAUCGGUCCGUACUUCUUUCGAAAUAAAGCUGGUAACGCCGCUACUGUCAAUGGAGAGCAGUGUAGAUCGAUGAUAACCAACUUUUUAUGGCCACACUUGGAAGAAGUUAAUCUUAACAACAACAGGUUCCAACAAGACGGAGCUACGUGUCACACAGCACGUGAAACAGCCGAUUUAUCGGGGGAAAUGUUUGGAGAUUCGAUUAUUUCAGGAAACUGUAACAUUGAAUGGCCUCUAAGAAGUUGUGAUUUUAACACCAUUAGAUUACUUCUUGUGCGGUUACUUCAAGUCAUUAGUCUUUAGUAACAAACCAGACUCUCUUCAAGCUUUAAAAGUCAAUAUUGAAUGUGCUAUUCAUCACAUAUGACUUGAUUUAGUGGAGAAAGUGCUCUAAAAUUGGGUUCAUCCAAUUCGUGCCUGUGAAAGAAGUCGUGGAAGCCGUUUAAAUGAUGCUAUAUACAGAACCGAAUUAACGAUCGACUGAAAUGGAGACGAGAAAAAGCGAGAUAGCGGAGAAUACGUCGGACGAAAUUCUACCACCAACGCAAAUAGUAAUUUCCCAUGAGAUUCUCUUCGGGUUUCAGCGUUACUUACAGCCAAUACAAAUAUUAUUUCUAUGUGGUUCCGAAGUUUUCACACCGGACAUAUUUCCGUAGAAAACGAGCCCUGAGAAGGUCGACCAAGAUCAUAUAAUGAUGACGUCACUGUAGCUCUGGUGAAGUUCAAAAUUGACAAAGACCCACGAUUGACACAAGAAAUGAUCGCUACUGCAUGGGUACCACGAUUUUUAAAUGAGGCCCAAAAAGAAGUUCGAGUGCAUUUUGUU